rnacentral:lncRNA from 1 species
AUGGAGGUUCCCAGGCUAGGGGUCUAAUUGGAGCUGUAGCUGCUGGCCUACGCCAGAGCCACAGCAAUACAGGAUCCAAGCUGUGUCUGCAACCCACACCACAGCUCACGGCAAUGCCGGAUCCUCAACCCACUGAGCAAGGCCAGGGAUGGAACCUGCAACCUCUUGGUUCCUAGUCGCAUUUGAUAACCACUGAGCCACAACGGGAACUCCCCCAACUGAUUUUCAAUGAAGAUGCAAAAGCAAUUCAGUGGUGCUUUCCCAGUAAAUAGUGCUGGGGCAUUUGGACAUCCGCAGGCCCCAAACCAGAAAACAAACCACACACAAAAAACAAACCUUGCACAAAAAUUAACUCAAAAUGCAUUAUAGACUUAAAUGCUAAAUGUAAAAUCCAUAGGGAAUUCCCUUCGUGGCGCAGCAGAAAUGAAUUUGACUAGUACCUGGGAGGAUGCGGGUUCAAUCUCUGGUCUCACUCAGUGGGUGGGGGAAUCCCACGUUGCUGUGGCUGUGAUGGAGGCUGGCAGCUGUAGCUCUGAUUCGACCCCUAGCGUAGGAAUCUCUAUUUGUCCAAGGUGUGGCUCUAAAAAUAAUAAUAAUAAUAAAGACAAAAGUAAAAACCAUAAAACAUUUUUAUAAAGCAUAGGAGUAAAAUCCUCAAACUCUAGGGCAAGAGAGAGUUCUUGGACUUGACAUCACAGCAUGAUUCAUAAAAGGAAAAAAUGAUAUCUUGACCAUCAAAAAUUUGACUUUUAAAACAUAGCUUUGUGCCGUUCCCGUAAUGGCUCACCGGGAGCGAAUCUGACUGGCAUCCAUGAGGACACAGGUUCGAUCCCUGGCCUCGCUCAGUGGAUUAAGGAUCUGGCAUUACCAUGAGCUAUGGUGUAGGUUGCAGACGCAGCUCGGAUCCUGUGUUGCUCCCGUGUCCUCACGGAUACUAGUCGGGUUCGUUACUGCUGAGCCACAACGGGAACUCCAGACUGGAGCUUACACCAUCAGCUCUCCCGGGUCUGGACUCCUCAACCUCCAUAAUUGCAGGAGCCAAUUCCAUGUAAUAAAUCUCUUUAUGGGAGUUCCCAUUGUGGUGCAGUGGAAAUGAAUCCUUUGGCGCAAUGAAAGGACAAAAACUGCUGCUGUGUCCUCUCCACACCAGAAGUCCCCCUGUCAGGAGGGAGUAAAGCAGUUUGUUUUGGUCAGAUUCUCCCAGAAGCUUAAUCUGGGCCAGGGAUUAAAGUGCAAGUGGUUUAUUAAGGAAAUGUUCCCAGGAAAAAGCAGUAAAGGGGCGAGGUAGGCAGGGUAGCAGGGGUGUGAGCAGCUCUGGAGUAUAAAUAGCAUCUUAGAGUUUGUCCUGCUUCAGGCCAAGGAGCUGGGUUUUUGUCCAUCUCACCAGUCAUUGGCUAGGCCCCCUGGGGGGUGGGGGCAUGGUGACAUGCAAGGGCAUGGUCCCACGGGGAAAGUGGCUCCAGUGUCAAGGACAAGCCCCUGAAGAUUGCAGGUGGAAGCUAUUUGCAGGAAACAGACAAU